GGUGAAAAGCACCCCGGAAGGGGAGUGAAAUAGAACCUGAAACCGUGUGCUUACAAGUAGUCAGAGCCCGUUAAUGGGUGAUGGCGUGCCUUUUGUAGAAUGAACCGGCGAGUUACGAUUUGAUGCAAGGUUAAGCAGUAAAUGUGGAGCCGUAGCGAAAGCGAGUCUGAAUAGGGCGUUUAGUAUUUGGUCGUAGACCCGAAACCAGGUGAUCUACCCUUGGUCAGGUUGAAGUUCAGGUAACACUGAAUGGAGGACCGAACCGACUUACGUUGAAAAGUGAGCGGAUGAACUGAGGGUAGCGGAGAAAUUCCAAUCGAACCUGGAGAUAGCUGGUUCUCUCCGAAAUAGCUUUAGGGCUAGCCUCAAGUGAUGAUUAUUGGAGGUAGAGCACUGUUUGGACGAGGGGCCCCUCUCGGGUUACCGAAUUCAGACAAACUCCGAAUGCCAAUUAAUUUAACUUGGGAGUCAGAACAUGGGUGAUAAGGUCCGUGUUCGAAAGGGAAACAGCCCAGACCACCAGCUAAGGUCCCAAAAUAUAUGUUAAGUGGAAAAGGAUGUGGCGUUGCCCAGACAACUAGGAUGUUGGCUUAGAAGCAGCCAUCAUUUAAAGAGUGCGUAAUAGCUCACUAGUCGAGUGACACUGCGCCGAAAAUGUACCGGGGCUAAACAUAUUACCGAAGCUGUGGAUUGUCCUUUGGACAAUGGUAGGAGAGCGUUCUAAGGGCGUUGAAGCAUGAUCGUAAGGACAUGUGGAGCGCUUAGAAGUGAGAAUGCCGGUGUGAGUAGCGAAAGACGGGUGAGAAUCCCGUCCACCGAUUGACUAAGGUUUCCAGAGGAAGGCUCGUCCGCUCUGGGUUAGUCGGGUCCUAAGCUGAGGCCGACAGGCGUAGGCGAUGGAUAACAGGUUGAUAUUCCUGUACCACCUAUAAUCGUUUUAAUCGAUGGGGGGACGCAGUAGGAUAGGCGAAGCGUGCGAUUGGAUUGCACGUCUAAGCAGUAAGGCUGAGUAUUAGGCAAAUCCGGUACUCAUUAA
rnacentral:rRNA from 1 species